rnacentral:lncRNA from 1 species
CUUUUAUUGAGAGCUCUUUCUAGAUUCUACGGGUGGUGGUGCAUGGCCAUUCUUAGUUGGUAAAGUGAUUUGUCUGGUUAAUUCCAUUAACGAACGAGACCUCAGUCUGCUAACCAGCUAUGUCGAGGCAACCCUUCGUGGCUAGCUUCUUAGAGGGACUACGACCUUUUAGGCCAUGGAAGUUUGAGGCAAUAACAGGUCUGUGAUGCCCUUAGAUGUUCU